rnacentral:lncRNA from 1 species
UUCCUCCUUAAAAGUAAGUAGGCUCUUUCAAACAACUAGGACCUCUCCUCUAUCCCCAAAUAACAAGGAAUCAUCCUCCUCCUUACCUCCUUUAUCAUAAGUAAGCUCUUGAUCCUCGUCAGAUGGCUCUUCUUCUUCAGUGAGCAACUACUUCAUGGGCUAUCCAGCAUGCUUUGUACCUUCGCUUCGUAUGUGUCCGAUCUCACCAUAGUUAUAGCACUGCAACAUAGAAAAUCCCACUAGGAUCAGCUUUAAGGACCUUAUAUCAACAGCACCACGAACAGAAGGGGUAGAAGCUGGAUUGUGUCACACGUCCCUCUGAUUAUCUAAUGUUUGAUUGUUCCGUAGGAAAGGAUUAGGUCUAGGCACAGGCCUUCGUUGCAACUGCUCCUCAGCAAUCAAGGCUCAAUGGUAAGCUUCAUUGAUCGUCCAUAAGGAAUGCAACCUC